rnacentral:rRNA from 1 species
AACGAACGCUGGCGGCAGGCUUAACACAUGCAAGUCGAACGCAUCCUUCGGGGUGAGUGGCAGACGGGUGAGUAACGCGUGGGAACGUGCCCUUCAGUUCGGGAUAACCCAGGGAAACUUGGGCUAAUACCGGAUACGUGCGAGAGCAGAAAGAUUUAUCGCUGAAGGAUCGGCCUGCGUCUGAUUAGCUAGUUGGUGGGGUAAUGGCCCACUAAGGCGACGAUCAGUAGCUGGUCUGAGAGGAUGAUCAGCCACAUUGGGGCUGAGACACGGCCCAAACUCCUACGGGAGGCAGCAGUGGCUAAUAUUGGAAAGUGGGCGCAAGCCUGAUCCAGCCAUGCCGCGUGAGUGAUGAAGGCCUUAGGGUUGUAAAGCUCUUUCGUCCGGGACGAUAAUGACGGUACCGGAAGAAGAAGCCCCGGCUAACUUCGUGCCAGCCGCCGCCGUAA